AAAUCCUUCUCACUGGGUGGUGCUGCAUCCUCCUAUCCAACCGAUCAUCGGAUCGCAAUCGCUCCAAGUAUCAACUACUUCACACCCUUCGCACCCACAGAGAAGUAGGAGGACCUUCCAACAACUGAAGAAGGAAUAUGCAACACUGAAGAAGAAACUAGAAGCUUAUUUUCAGCUAGCAAGACGAGCAGGGCCCAUGGAGACUGCUAGUCGUCGGAAAUAAUUAAUUACAGAAGGGAG